rnacentral:rRNA from 1 species
AGUGGCGAACGGGUGAGUAACACGUGGGCAACCUGCCAAANAGGGGGAUAACACUUGGAAACAGGUGCUAAUACCGCAUAACCAUAGUUACCGCAUGGUAACUAUGUAAAAGGACGGCUAUACUACCGCUUUUGGAUGGGCCCGCGGCGCAUUAGCUAGUCGGUAGGGUAAAGGCUUACCAAGGCAAUGAUGCGUAGCCGAAUUGAGAGGUUGAUCGGCCACAUUGGGACUGAGACACGGCCCAAACUCCUACGGGAGGCAGCAG